AGAGCCUUGCAGGGCUGACGGAUGAGUGGAAUUGACCACAUGUCCUGCAAUGUCAUGAUCAGCCGACCGUCUGGGCAGGGUAU
rnacentral:ncRNA from 2 species